AGAAAUUCCUUCCUCCGCGCUCGCAUCGUUAUUCCAACUGACAACUUUGAGCCUUAGAUCAAACCGGAUUAGCAAGAUCGAAAAGAAUGCAUUUAAUUACGCAAGGAAUUUAAUUUAUCUAUAUCUUCAAAAGAAUAAAUUAGAGGUGUUACCUAAUGAAAGUUUUAAUGGAUUAUCAAGACUUGAAAUUCU